AAGUGUCCGUGGUGUGAACAUGCACGUGCAUGGCACUGAACAGCGGAUCGUGUGACAGGUUUGUGUUGGACUCAGCGGACUGACACGUGCUCGUGAGGGUCUGAAGUGGUAACUAGACAGAACUAGUUGUAGUUAGUAGCAGCAGCAGCUCGGUUAGCAGCCAACGCGGCCUGAACACAUGCUGGAGGUUAGCCUGUGGAGGACACGGCCGAGGAUCCAACUUGUUUGUGGAUAAGUUCACCUGGAGGAAGACGCGGACUCUUUUCUCUCAGAACAGGUCCUCAGGACAGGAAUACUUCAGGAGUGAGAUCCUUCUGCCCAAGAUCGGCUUCAGAUUUGUGCCAGUCUUAUCCGAAAUUUGCGAUAGGAGAUAAAAUGGAGUCGAGCAGUUACGAUGAUUUUGUGGUCCUCUCUUUUUGAACAAAGAAAAGGAAGACAUUGGGUCCAUCCAAUCGUGAGAAGCCGUCAGGAACAAGGAGAACUUCAUCCUCUGAUCAUGUAGCUGCAAAAGUAUUCCAAUUGCUCCUGAGUCUAUUUCAGGGUUUCAGUGGUCCAGUUUUAUGUGCUACCAGCAACACUGGGACAGCACAUUAAAAAGAAGAAAACAACUUUCUGUGAUCCAGUUGAUCCUGAACAGCUCAAACAACUUUCUGUAACGCCUUUGACGGAUGAGACAAAUUCAGCAAAUCAAACCUGUUUGGAAAACUUUAAUGACGAAAGAUUCGGAAUCAGUGUGUAAACGUCACUGACACAAUAGGAGGUGGUAUUUAUUUUUAGACGUUCAACAAUUUUAGAAGGAAAAUAUGGAGUUGGUGUGUGAAAGACCUUUAAUUCUCAAUAUUUUCUCAUUACUCAUAUUUCCACCAGCACAUCCUCACAUGUUAUUGGAGAUUUUGUUUGUUGGAGGUAAUUGUUACAAAAGCAACCUUGCAAACAAUAAAUAGAUGCUGUUUAGCCAUAUUACAGCAAAAAUGUGAA